CUACAACAGCUUUAGCAUCUACAACAACCACUGCAGCCCUAACUACAACAACUGCUGCUCCUACGACCACUGCAACUCCAGAACCUAUUAUGACAACCAGUGCAACUCCUACUACAACAACUGCUGUUAUUACGACCACAGUGACUGCAGCACCUUCUACAACAACUACAACUUCAGCUCCUAUGACAACCACAACAUCAGCCCCUACUACAACACCUGCAGUUCCUACAACUGUUGCUCCGAUGAUCACUCCACCUGCUGUUAUUACUGCAACAAUCACAACUACAGGUCCUGAUACAACAACUGUAGCUUCUACUUCAACCACAGCAGCUGCCUCUACGACAUCAACUGCAGCUCCUCAGACUGCAGAACCUACCACGACAACCAGUGCAGCACCUUCUACAACUACAACAGCUCUUUCUUCAACAACUGUAAAUCCUUUGACAACAAUAGUUGGUCCUACGACCACAAUUAUAUCAAUUAAUUCUGCAGGUCUUACAACCACAACCACAACUGGUAGUUCUCAUCCUCCAACAAGCACUACAACUGCAUCACCUACAAGUACAAGCACAAUUGUACUUCCAACAUCGACAACCAGAACUUCAACUUAUAUCUCAACUUCUAUGACAUCAACAACUAGAUUCGGCACAGUGGGAGUUUUUGUUAAACUGAUAUUCAAGGUCAAAACACCAGUCCCCACUGAGGAUGAUGUCCUUGGUGCCGUCAAGAAGCAAUUGUCUCCUCAAUUCACGACCACUCAAACCACCUUCCAGAAUGCAACUUAUAUCAAACUUACAGAUACUUCAUUUACCAUCGACCUUGGUUUCAAAAUAACCAAUGUAACGCAGGAUUCUCAAAGUAAUAGACUCACACUCAACAAUGAGACCGAAACCCAGAUACAGGAUUCAAUUAAC